rnacentral:rRNA from 1 species
AUUGAACGCUGGCGGCAUGCCUUACACAUGCAAGUCGAACGGUAACAGGUCUUCGGAUGCUGACGAGUGGCGAACGGGCGAGUAAUACAUCGGAACGUGCCCGAUCGUGGGGGAUAACGCAGCGAAAGCUGUGCUAAUACCGCAUACGAUCUACGGAUGAAAGCGGGGGAUCGCAAGACCUCGCGCGGACGGAGCGGCCGAUGGCAGAUUAGGUAGUUGGUGGGAUAAAAGCUUACCAAGCCGACGAUCUGUAGCUGGUCUGAGAGGACGACCAGCCACACUGGGACUGAGACACGGCCCAGACUCCUACGGAGGCAGCAGUGGGGAAUUUUGGACAAUGGGCGCAAGCCUGAUCCAGCCAUGCGCGUGCAGGAUGAAGGCCUCGGUUGUAAACUGCUUUGUUACGAACGAAAAGACUACUCUCUAAUACAGGGGUGAAGUGACGUACCGUAAGAAUAAGACACCGGCUAACUACGUGCCGAG